AGCUGAAAAAGACUUGGAAGCUCGGAGAGAUUGAGUCAAGGCCUAGAGGCGACUCUAGUCAGAUAAGAGCAAGGAGAAAGCAGCAGAGUGAGCUGCGGGAUUGACAAGAACUUCUUGAUCCCUUUUGUACGGGUAUUGUUUUAUACCCUUAUGGUUAUUUUGAUGUAAAUACUGUAAUGUCAUAAGUAUCAAUGUAAAUUGAGCAGUUGUAAAUAAAUUGUAAUAAUAUUAUUUUGGGUUUGCUUCUGUAAAUUUAAUAUUUGUAAAUAUGAAUUUUCUGCUUUAUGCCUUGUUAAUGAAGUAUUAAAAAUUUUGUGAUGACCAAA